rnacentral:lncRNA from 1 species
GCAGCUUCCUGGGUCUCCUCCGCCCCGGCUGGGGGAGGAAGGCCGCGGGGAGGCGAGGCCUAAGUGCCUCUCCCCUCCCUGCUUGUUCAGCCCGGGGCUGAAGCCGAGACCCGGGGCUCCCGGCGGUGGCACUGGCCUAGGGUCGGGACCAGGAGAACUGAUAGUGCAUCAGCCGACCCAGGUAAUUUAAAAUAUUCUUCAUCCAGAGAUAGAGGUGGUUCUUCCUCUUACGGACUGCAACCUUCAAAUUCAGCUGUGGUGUCUCGGCAAAGGCACGAUGAUACCAGAGUCCACGCUGACAUACAGAAUGACGAAAAGGAGAGAUCGAUGUCUUAUUGUGAUGAGUCUCGACUGUCAUAUCUUCUUCGGAGGAUCACCCGGGAAAACGACCGAGACCGAAGAUUGGCUACUGUAAAGCAGUUGAAAGAAUUUAUUCAGCAACCAGAAAAUAAGCUGGUACUAGUUAAACAAUUGGAUAUCUUGGCUGCUGUACAUGAUGUGCUUAAUGAAAGUAGCAAAUUGCUUCAGGAGUUGAGACAGGAGGGAGCUUGCUGUCUCGGCCUUCUUUGUGCUUCUCUGAGCUAUGAGGCUGAGAAGAUCUUCAAGUGGAUUUUUAGCAAAUUUAGCUCAUCUGCAAAAGAUGAAGUUAAACUCCUCUACUUAUGUGCCACCUACAAAGCACUAGAGACUGUAGGAGAAAAGAAAGCCUUUUCAUCUGUAAUGCAGCUUGUAAUGACCAGCCUGCAGUCAAUUCUUGAAAAUGUGGAUACACCAGAAUUGCUUUGCAAAUGUGUUAAGUGCAUUCUUUUGGUGGCUCGAUGUUACCCUCAUAUUUUCAGCACUAAUUUUAGGGUGAGUUCCUCAUUCCGCUGUUCAGAUCAUGGGGUGAGGGGGAUGGUUGUGUGUGUGAGGAACUGAGGAAUCAGAUGGAAAACAGUGCCUCUGCUCCUUUGAAUAUAAUCAGUGAUAUUUGAGGUUCCAGGGUUAAAUGCCGCAUUUUUCUUUCUGACGUUCGUACCUUAAAAUAUUUGAAGAAAAUAAACUAUUUCAUUGUUGUCA